rnacentral:rRNA from 1 species
UACGGAAGGCAGCAGUGGGGAAUAUUGCACAAUGGGCGCAAGCCUGAUGCAGCCAUGCCGCGUGUAUGAAGAAGGCCUUCGGGUUGUAAAGUACUUUCAGCGGGGAGGAAGGCGAUGUGGUUAAUAACCGCGUCGAUUGACGUUACCCGCAGAAGAAGCACCGGCUAACUCCGUGCCAGCAGCCGCGGUAAUACGGAGGGUGCAAGCGUUAAUCGGAAUUACUGGGCGUAAAGCGCACGCAGGCGGUCUGUUAAGUCAGAUGUGAAAUCCCCGGGCUUAACCUGGGAACUGCAUUUUGAAACUGGCAGGCUUGAGUCUCGUAGAGGGGGUAGAAUUCCAGGUGUAGCGGUGAAAUGCGUAGAGAUCUGGAGGAAUACCGGUGGCGAAGGCGGCCCCUGGGACGAGACUGACGCUCAGGUGCGAAAGCGUGGGGAGCAAACGAGGAUUAGAUACC